GAACCCUGUUGAUACACACAAACAAGUCUUCCUGAGGCCUUUGAGGAGAAGAAAUGUAUCCUCAGGAGAGGAUUAAGAAAAAAGAAAAAGUCUUAGAACAGCUUUGAAUUUUUACUGAGAACACUGGGAAAACUGAUAACCAGG